rnacentral:rRNA from 1 species
CCUACGGGUGGCUGCAGUGGGGGAUAUUGCACAAUGGGGGGAACCCUGAUGCAGCGACGCCGCGUGUGGGAAGACGGUCCUCUGGAUUGUAAACCACUGUCCCCAGGGACGAAAAUGACGGUACCUGGGGAGGAAGCUCCGGCUAACGACGUGCCAGCAGCCGCGGUAAUACGUAGGGAGCGAGCGUUGUCCGGAAUUACUGGGUGUAAAGGGAGCGUAGGCGGGGAUGCAAGUUGGUUGUAAAAACUACCGGCUCAACUGGUAGUCGCACUCAAAACUGCAGCUCUUGAGUGAAGUAGAGGCAGGCGGAAUUCCUAGUGUAGCGGUGAAAUGCGUAGAUAUUAGGAGGAACACCAGUGGCGAAGGCGGCCUGCUGGGCUUUUACUGACGCUGAGGCUCGAAAGUGUGGGGAGCAAACAGGAUUAGAUACCCUUGUAGUC